GACGAACGCUGGCGGCGUGCUUAACACAUGCAAGUCGAACGAUGAAGAAGAGAAACGCGAACUUCGGUUCAAAUUUCACUUCGGAUUAGUGGCAGACGGGUGAGUAACGCGUGAGCAACCUACCUCUUACAAAGGGAUAGCCUCGGGAAACCGUGAUUAAUACCAUAUGACACAUUCAUAAGGCAUCUUAAGAAUGUUAAAGCUACGGCGGUAAGAGAUGGGCUCGCGUCCCAUUAGCUAGUUGGUGAGGUAACGGCCCACCAAGGCGACGAUGGGUAACCGGCCUGAGAGGGUGAACGGUCACAUUGGAACUGAGACACGGUCCAAACUCCUACGGGAGGCAGCAGUGGGGAGUAUUGCACAAUGGAGGGAACUCUGAUGCAGCGACGCCGCGUGAGCGAUGAAGGAAUUCGUUUCGUAAAGCUCUGUUCUAUGGGAAGAAAAGGACUGUACCAUAGGAGAAAGCCCCGGCUAAAUACGUG
rnacentral:rRNA from 1 species